rnacentral:tRNA from 1 species
GGGCGUUUGGCACAGUGGUAGCGCGCCUGCUUUGCAUCGAGGGUGAUGACAACACUGCAUGAGGUCGAGGGUUCAAACCCCUCAACGUCCA